GGCUCAGAACGAACGCUGGCGGCGCGCUUAAGCAUGCAAGUCGAGCGGCAAGGGCCUUCGGGCCCCUAGAGCGGCGGACGGGUGAGUAACACGUGGACAAUCUGCCCCCCGGCCCGGGAUAGCCCAGGGAAACCUGGAUUAAUACCGGAUGAGACGGGACCCGCGAUGGCGGGAUCCGGGAAAGGCGCUGCGGCGCCGCCGGGGGAUGAGUCUGCGUCCCAUUAGCUAGACGGCGGGGUAACGGCCCACCGUGGCGACGAUGGGUAGCCGGCCUGAGAGGGUGGACGGCCACAUUGGAACUGAGACACGGUCCAGACUCCUACGGGAGGCAGCAGCUAAGAAUCUUCCGCAAUGGGCGAAAGCCUGACGGAGCGACGCCCGCGUGAACGAAGAAGGCCGUGAGGUUGUAAAGUUCUUUUCGGGAGGGGGAACAACCGUGGCAGGGAAUGGCCGCGGGAUGACGUGAAUCCCGGAAUAAGCCCCGGCUAACUACGUGCCAGCCGCUGC
rnacentral:rRNA from 1 species